ACCAGGAUGGCCGAGUGGUUAAGGCGUUGGACUUAAGUUCCAAAUGUACGAAUUUACGCUUGGGUUCGAACCCCACUCCUGGUA
rnacentral:tRNA from 1 species